rnacentral:tRNA from 1 species
GGAAACAGAUGGCGUAAUGGUAUCGCUCUGUCGUGAGUUUCUGUUUGAUUGAAUGCCCUGCUUAAAAAAAAUCAAGUGUCGUUUGAGGAUCAUACUUCGGGAUUUAGAAACAUUGGGUCGCAGGUUCAAUUCCUGCUCUUUCCC